UUUGGUGAAUAAAUAAAAAGAACUCCUGGUUGCGCUCAAAAUCUAUCUAGAAGCAUAACAUUGAAACUGAAGCGGUGGGUGCUGCAUCCAUUCAUUGUCAAAGGUUGCUGAGAUUUGGUAUUUGGUGCUAAACUUUCUAGCCAAUUCUCUUUACAUACUUUUUUUUUUAAUCAUUAUUGCCUAAUUUGCAUGAUUGGUAAGUUCUAGAGUUGAUUACUACUACAACUUUGCAUGAUUGGUCUAAUUUAGAUCUGCUUAAUUAUCACUUCUCAUUACAUCUCUCACCAAACCUCUUUUCAUUGAACUGUCAAUGUUCACAUUUUCCCAGCAACCAACAAACUAAUUACCUAUAUACUGAUUUACUAGUUACUAUCUUUCUAGUAAAGCCUUUUUUACUGAAUUGCUUUGAAUUUAAGUUGAAGGAUUUUACCAUCACAUUUGGUUCAUCUACUCUGCCAAUAGUAACCACUGUCUUAUGACAUAUAUAAAGAGAACCUUAUGCCAUAUUUCUCACCAUCCAACUCAAGACUUUCCUCUCUUCUCUCCAGCCAUAUAUAUAAUCAGCACUUUUCUGUCUCCAUUCAUUGUUCAUCAAAGCAUUAAUUGAUUAGUUAAUAGCCAUGUCACCAACAAAUUGGUCAAUUUUGGUGAUUUUAUGCUGUGCCAUUUCAUUUACAUUGGCUUCUGA
rnacentral:lncRNA from 1 species